GCCAACUCAUGGUACUGUUAAUAGAAUAAUAAGAACAUGUUGGAUGUUCUAACAAUUUAACUAUAAUUCAAUUUGUUCAAACUUGACGUCAUGAAAAGUAUUGUUGAUAGAACGUGAAUAUAGUCUGAUUUUCUUGUGAUAAGGGCUACUAAAAGUAGAAUAUGUGACAAAAUUAUGGAGCUAUUAUAGAAAUUAGCAUAUUGACUUACAUUUUUGAUUUAUGAGAAUUAAAAAUAUAUAAAAAAUCCAUCUAAAAUAUAUUAAGGGUAUUUGUGGUAUUAUGUAGUCGGUGAUCUUGGAUCCUCGUACCAUACCAAACAAGUUACUCAUGGAUAUCAGGAGAUUUUUAAUCAUUGAAUCAUGAUGGCCUACCAAACACAUUGAUCUUAGAUCAUUGGGAAUCAAAUCACUCCAGCAUUCGGAUCACCGAGAAUCUUAGAUCACCGUGAUGAUCCUGUUGGGGUCACCAAAUGCCCCCUAAGAGGUGGUUUACAAGACCACAAAAAUGCUAGACUUU
rnacentral:lncRNA from 1 species